rnacentral:rRNA from 1 species
UAAAUUAUAAAUGAUUAUAAUAAUUAAAAUUUUAUAAAAUAAAAUUAUAUAAAUAAAUAAAUAAAGAUUUGUAGUAUAAAUUAUUUUUUAAAUAAAGUAAUAUAAAGAUUUUAUAGUUAAAGUAUAAAGUAAGAAUAAAUAAAAUUAAUAUUAGUGAUAGUAAUGAAAAUGAUUUUUUGAAAAAAAUGAAAAAGUAAAUUUUAUAUAUUGUACCUUUUGUAUAAGGGUUAAUUAAAUAAAAUAUUUAAAUUGAAAUAUUUCUCGAAUUUAAAAGAUUUAUUUAAAAAUUUUAGUUAAUGUAGAAAUAUUAUUAAUAAUUUUUAAAUAGAAGUGAAAUGUUAAUCGAUUUUAAAUAUAUCUAGUUUUUUUAGAAUUGAAUAUAAUUCAGAUUUAUAAAUUAUAUAAAUAAAAAUUAUAUUUGUUUAUAUAAUUUUAUAAAUUAAAUAUUUUUGGGAUAAGCUAGAAAUAUAUAUAAAUAAUUAAUUUUAAUAUUAAGUAAUAAAAAUAUUCAUAAAAUUUGAAUUUUUUAAUAAAAAUGUUAUAAUUUAUAAUAAAAUUAAUUAAUAAAUUUAAAAUAAAAUUUUUAUUUUUAUAAAAAAAAAUUAUUUAAUAAUAAAGUAAUUGAUAUAAUGAUUAAAUUAGUAAAUUUAUAAGAAAAAUAUUAAUAUAAGAUUAAUAAUUAAAUUUUAAAUUUAUAUUAAGGAAUUCGACAAAAAUUUUAUUUUAUUAAAAAUAUAUUCACCUGUUUAUCAAAAACAUGGCUUAUUUGAUAAAAAUAAUAGGUCUAUUCUGCCCAUUGAUUAAAAUUAAAAGGCUGCAGUAUAUUGACUGUACAAAGGUAGCAAAAUCAUUUGUUUUUUAAUUGAAAACUGGAAUGAAAGAGUGGAUGAAAUAUAAAUUGUCUCAAUAUAAAAAUAUUGAAUUUAAAUUAAAAGUUAAAAUGCUUUUAUAUAUUUAUAAGACGAUAAGACCCUAUAGAAUUUAAUAAUGUUUAUUUUUUAAAAUUAAUAUAUUAAUAAAAUUUAAUAGGUAAAUAUAUUUUAUUGGGAGGAUAGUUAAAUAAAUUAAACUUUAAUAUUAUUAUAACAUAGAUUAAUGAAUUAAUUAAUUGAUUAUUUUUAUAAUUAUUAGAAUAAAUUACCUUAGGGAUAACAGCGUUAUAAUUUUGGAGAGUUCAUAUUGAUAAAAUUGUUUGCGACCUCGAUGUUGAAUUAUGAUAAAAGUUAAGUGGAGAAAUUUAAAUUUUUAGUCUGUUCGACUAUUAAAAUCAUACAUGAUUUGAGUUCAGAUCGGUGAAAGCCAGAUCGGUUUCUAUCUAUAAAAAAAAAUUAUUUUAUUGUACGAAAGGACUUAAAAUAUUAAAUAUUUUAUUAAAAAUUAAUAAUUAUAUUAAUUUUAAUGAAUAAAAUUAAUUAAUUUAUUUAUAAUAUUUAAAAUUGGAUAAAUUGUAAAUUUAUUAGAUAAAUAUGGAAUAUAAAUAAAGGUUAAAUUUUGUAGGUAUAUAUAUUAAAUUUAAGAUUAAGUGGAAUAGAUUGAUAAGAUAAUAAAUUUA